GCCUGGCUGGCUCAGUAGGUAGAGCACACGACUCUUGAUCUCAGGAUUGUGAGUUCAAGUCCCACGUUGGGUG
rnacentral:tRNA from 1 species